rnacentral:rRNA from 1 species
UACGAAGGGUGCAAGCGUUACUCGGAAUUACUGGGCGUAAAGCGUGCGUAGGUGGUUUGUUAAGUCUGUUGUGAAAGCCCCGGGCUCAACCUGGGAAUGGCAAUGGAUACUGGCAAGCUAGAGUGCGGUAGAGGGUAGUGGAAUUCCCGGUGUAGCGGUGAAAUGCGUAGAGAUCGGGAGGAACACCAGUGGCGAAGGCGGCUACCUGGACCGGCCCUGACACUGAGACGCGAAGGCGUGGGGAGCGAACGGG